rnacentral:tRNA from 2 species
CGCGGGAUAGAGCAGUUGGUAGCUCGCCAGGCUCAUUACCUGGAGGUCGUUCGUUCGAGUCGAACUCCCGCAA